rnacentral:lncRNA from 12 species
AUGAUCAACAAUUCUGGGGAGUUUCAGUCUGCGCCGAAAUAUGCCCGCUCUUUCAGUGUGAGUCCCACCCUUACCACUUCCCCCCUCCAAGAGAUCCCUUCAUUGCAAGAGCUGGAUGUGUCACCGGGUGAUGUGUACUCAAAUGGCACGAUCAUCUCUGACUUCACCCACCUGCUGGAUCCAAAACCUGGGCCUAGCAGAGAGCUAGUGACAGAAAGCUUUCCCGCAACUCAAACCACAUUUUUAUCUCCCGCCUCCCCUACUCUGCCCUCCAUGGAGCUGGCAUUGAAUUUGCUAGAUGAACCAGCUGCCCAGGAGUCUGAGGAAAUACCCUCUGAAAGUAAUGAUGUGUCUGAUCCACUGGCACUAAUUGACUCCAGUUUAGCAGUGAUCCGCUCAUGCAUUCCACCCUCACCUGACCUGGACAAUUUCAGCAAGAUUCUUAGUCCUGGCUGCCACAUCUCUGCUGUUAAAGACUCUGACACAAAAACCGAGAGCAAACAGAGAAGCCAGAAUGAAGCCGAUGCGCUACCUUACGCCAACACAGGUACACACAUAUACGCCCACGCUUCCCUUUUCACACACCAUACCAAACCCACACAUGUAUCACCUGCACAAACCACACGAACGCAGAACUUAAACUUCUGGUUUGUUCCAUUUAUUGUGUUUGUGCAGUUACACAGCAGCAGAGCCUGCAACAAAAUGCAGACCCGGAGCAGGAGCGCUACGAUAGUGGAGAGUAUUCAGAUAUCUUACCAUCCCUUCUGCAGCUGGUGCAGGAAGCAUCCAGCCUCUCCUUCAGUAACACUACACUGCCUUUAG